rnacentral:lncRNA from 1 species
GAUGAUCGACGUAGACUAGACGAUGCCCUUCAUCGACUACAUAAAAGAGAACAAGCUACCUCCAGAAAAGAAGGAAGCAGAGCAAGUCUCGCGAUGCAAUAAGGGCGUGAUUGGUUGCAAAGGACCGGACCGUCCAGAACGGAUGGGUUGUACCGGAUCGUGGGAGACGGAAUAGAGCAAUACAGGGGGGUUUAUUUGGUUGCACUUUGCUGUCGUCCUGAAUCAUGCGAGGUUGUGUUUGGUUGUACUAGUUGUAUCGUUCUCGUGUACGACAGGAGUCACCAGAUUGUGUUUGGUACGUAGAAUUGGAUGAGAUCGGAGCACCCUAGCACCAUAUUGGUGAGGUUACCAACAAAGAUGAUGAACAUGAGAUGUUUUGAUAUUACAAAGGCUGAUCUCGCGCUUGACUACUUUCAAAGAUAACUAACUACUAGUAGGAGUACAACAAUAACAAUAAAU